rnacentral:lncRNA from 1 species
AAAAAAACGUAUAUCCGUAUCAGACAUGUAUAUAUGUUACAUAGCUUUUUAGGCAGUUAAAAAUAUAAAAUUCAAUUUACUUUAAAGAAAUGGGUCACGAAGAAAAUGUGAGGAAUUAGUGGCGCGAUAAGUGGCGCGGCACCGUCAUUGGUGUCGGCGUAAGAAUCCAAAGCAAAAGUUGUGGCAAGCUACUCUUGUGAUGAUGGACCACUGCAAAAUCACAAACAAAUUAAAUAAUAUAUUGUCAAAAUAACUUAUACGUAUAGUUCACUACACUAUUGUCAACUACUGAGAAGUAAGAAGAAAGUUUUACAUAAAUAUACCACAAGAUAUUACGUACCAUCAAACUUUAUCUACUCUUCUUUUUGCAUAUUUAUAUACAAUUGGGUUUGCUUCAAACCAUGAUGCCCGUGACUCUGAAUAGACAUGUGUUAGGAAAUUAAGCAUAUUCGUGGAAUCAUAUUCAUAUUCUCUACACACAAUAUAGGUGUCAUGCACUUUUAUCACCAAAACAUUACCUUAUU